CCCCUCUCAGGGUUGUUGCACCUGGAGAGUUUCCAGUACUCUAGCAGGUUUAGCUAUGGGAGGGAGAGUCAAGCAGAGGCCUAACCAUUCCAUUCCUAGCUUGGGCAGUGGCUAGCGAGUGGAAGGCAAUCUGCUACAAGU